rnacentral:rRNA from 1 species
GGAGUUAGCCGGUGCUUCUUCUGUGAGUGAUGUCCUUCCUGCCGGCUAUUAACCCGCAGGCCUUCUUCCUCACUGAAAGUGCUUUACAACCCGAAGGCCUUCUUCACACACGCGGCAUGGCUGGAUCAGGGUUGCCCCCAUUGUCCAAUAUUCCCCACUGCUGCCUCCCGUAGGAGUCUGGGCCGUGUCUCAGUCCCAGUGUGGCUGAUCAUCCUCUCAGACCAGCUACGGAUCGUCGCCUUGGUGAGCCGUUACCUCACCAACCAGCUAAUCCGACAUAGGCUCAUCCGAUAGCGCGAGGCCCGAAGGUCCCCCGCUUUCCCCCGUAGGGCGUAUGCGGUAUUAGCCUGGGUUUCCCCAGGUUAUCCCCCACUACCGGGCAGAUUCCUAUGCAUUACUCACCCGUCCGCCGCUCGCCACCAGGGAGCAAGCUCCCCGUGCUGCCGCUCGACUUGCAUGUGUUAGGCCUGCCGCCAGCGUUCAAUCUGAGCCAGAAUCAAACUCU